CUCUCAAUAGUACAAAUAAAACCCCCCACAAGAUUAAAGAAGAGAGUUAAAGCAAGAAUCCUCAUGACAAGGGGUGGCUACUCUGGCAUUUUCAAGUCUUGAGGUUGCUGUUUUCCAGGGGGUGAUGUGAUAUGACCCUAGCCAACAUGUAGAGCUGGUUUUGUGGACUGUGCCUGUGUGCUUGUGAGAAAGCAGAGCGACAGAGGGAGGCAGAGUUAGAGCUAGUUGCAGAAGGAAAGUGCAAUUUCUGAACAGGGGCAGACCUGCCUGACUUGGAUAUCAGCUUCUCCAUGAAAAUAUGCAGUGCCUAAAAUUUACACUGAUCGAUUUGUUCACGAGAAAGGACAUUUCUAAAAGAGCCAGGAGACUGCCCCCAGAACCAAGAGGAGUACUGGAGAGCAGAAGAUGAAGAAAAACCUUUAAACAGCAGAGCAGUGAAGUGGAGGGAGAGGCGGCCCCUCUCCUUUGCCAGAGACUCCCACUCCCAGAUGCAGGCUGGAGCGAUCCCUCAUAAUUUAAGCUGACACCCCUCAGCGGAGAUGAAAGGAACACCACUCGCUGCUCUCCAACAACAAAUGUCAGCAUCCCUGGAGGCCGUUUAGACACAAACGCAGCAUAAAUCUGACUCCUAGUGGGGAAGUCCAGAGAUUAAGUCUCCACACACAGCCUACCAGAGUGAAAU
rnacentral:lncRNA from 1 species